GAUGAACGCUGGCGGCGUGCCCAAUACAUGCAAGUCGAGCGAAUGGAUUAAGAGCUUGCUCUUAUGAAGUUAGCGGCGGACGGGUGAGUAACACGUGGGUAACCUGCCCAUAAGACUGGGAUAACUCCGGGAAACCGGGGCUAAUACCGGAUAAUAUUUUGAACUGCAUGGUUCAAAAUUGCAAGGCGGCUUCGGCUGUCACUUAUGGAUGGACCCGCGUCGCAUUAGCUAGUUGGUGAGGUAACGGCUCACCAAGGCAACGAUGCGUGGCCGACCUGAGAGGGUGAUCGGCCACACUGGGACUGAGACACGGCCCAGACUCCUACGGGAGGCAGCAGUAGGGAAUCUUCCGCAAUGGACGAAAGUCUGACGGAGCAACGCCGCGUGAGUGAUGAAGGCUUUCGGGUCGUAAAACUCUGUUGUUAGGGAAGAACAAGUGCUAGUUGAAUAAGCUGGCACCUUGACGGUACCUAACCAGAAAGCCACGGCUAACUACGUGCCAGCCGCCGCCGUAA
rnacentral:rRNA from 1 species